rnacentral:rRNA from 1 species
UGGGGAAUUUUGGACAAUGGGGGAAACCCUGAUCCAGCCAUCCCGCGUGUGCGAUGAAGGCCUUCGGGUUGUAAAGCACUUUUGGCAGGAAAGAAACGUCGCGGGUUAAUACCCCGCNAAACUGACGGUACCUGCAGAAUAAGCACCGGCUAACUACGUGCCAGCAGCCGCGGUAAUACGUAGGGUGCAAGCGUUAAUCGGAAUUACUGGGCGUAAAGCGUGCGCAGGCGGUUCGGAAAGAAAGAUGUGAAAUCCCCAGAGCUUAACUUUGGAACUGCAUUUUUAACUACCGGGCUAGAGUGUGUCAGAGGGAGGUGGAAUUCCGCGUGUAGCAGUGAAAUGCGUAGNUAUGCGGAGGAACACCGAUGGCGAAGGCAGCCUCCUGGGAUAACACUGACGCUCAUGCACGAAAGCGUGGGGAGCAAACAGGAUUAGAUACCCUGGUAGUCCACGCCCUAAACGAUGUCAACUAGCUGUUGGGGCCUUGCGGGGCCUUGGUAGCGCAGCUAACGCGUGAAGUUACCGCCUGGGAGUACGGUCGCAAGAUUAAAACUCAAAUGAAUGACGGGGUCAUAGCUGUUUCCU